UACGGAGGGGGCUAGCGUUGUUCGGAAUUACUGGGCGUAAAGCGCACGUAGGCGGCUUUGUAAGUCAGAGGUGAAAGCCUGGAGCUCAACUCCAGAACUGCCUUUGAGACUGCAUCGCUUGAAUCCAGGAGAGGUCAGUGGAAUUCCGAGUGUAGAGGUGAAAUUCGUAGAUAUUCGGAAGAACACCAGUGGCGAAGGCGGCUGACUGGCCUGGUAUUGACGCUGAGGUGCGAAAGCGUGGGGAGCGAACAGG
rnacentral:rRNA from 1 species